UUUCCGUAGGUGAACCUGCGGAAGGAUCAUUAUUGUAUAACCGAGGUGCGAGGGCUGUCGCUGACCCGAAAGGUCGUGCACGCCCGAGUGCCCUCACACACAUCCAACUCACCCCUAUGUGCACCACCGCGUGGGUCCCCCUUUGGCUUGUUCGGAGGGGGGCUUACGUUUUCACACAAACUUUGUAUGCAGUGUAGAAUGUAUUUUUUGUUUUUGCGAUCACGCAAUCAAUACAACUUUCAACAACGGAUCUCUUGGCUCUC
rnacentral:misc_RNA from 1 species